GAUGAAGAACGUAGCGAAAUGCGAUAAGUAGUGUGAAUUGCAGAAUUCAGUGAAUCAUCGAAUCUUUGAACGCUCAUUGCGCCCCUUGGUAUUCCAUGGGGCAUGCCUGUUCGAGCGUCAUUUGUACCUUCAAGCUCUGCUUGGUGUUGGGUGUUUGUCUCGCCUCUGCGUGUAGACUCGCCUCAAAAUAAUUGGCAGCCGGCGUAUUGAUUUCGGAGCGCAGUACAUCUCGCGCUUUGCACUCAUAACGACGACGUCCAAAAGUACAUUUUUACACUCUUGACCUCGGAUCAGGUAGGGAUACCCGCUGAACUUAAGCAUAUCAAUAAGCGGAGGA
rnacentral:misc_RNA from 1 species